rnacentral:rRNA from 1 species
UUUCCGGUUGAUCCCGCCGGAGGCCAUUGAUAUCAGGGUUUGACUAAGCCAUGCGAGUCGAGAGGUGUAAGACCUCGGCAUACUGCUCAGUAACACAUGGAUAAUCUGCCCUUGGGUGGAGAAUACUCCCGGGAAACUGGGGUUAAUGCUCCAUAGUGGAUAUAUACUGGAAUGUUAUAUCCUCGAAAGAUCCGUCGCCCAAGGAUGAGUCUAUGUCCGAUUAGGUAGUUGGCGGGGUAACGGCCCACCAAGCCUUUGAUCGGUACGGGUUGUGGGAGCAAGAUCCCGGAGAUGGAUUCUGAGACAUGAAUCCAGGCCCUACGGGGCGCAGCAGGCGCGCAAACUUUACAAUGCGAGCAAUCGUGAUAAGGAAACCCUGAGUGCCUGUCGAUGCAGGCUGUUCAUAUAUCUAAAUCAUAUGUGAAGAAAGGGCAGGGCAAGACCGGUGCCAGCCGCCGCGGUAAUACCGGCUGCUCGAGUGAUGGCCACUAUUACUGGGUUUAAAGCGUCCGUAGCUUGAUUGUUAGGUCUCUUGGGAAAUCUUCACGCUCAACGUGAAGGCGUCCAAGAGAUACCGGCAAUCUUGGAACUGGGAGAGGUAAACCGUACUUCGGGGGUAGGAGUGAAAUCUUGUAAUCCUCGAGGGACGACCUAUGGCGAAGGCAGUUUACCAGAACAGCUUCGACAGUGAGGGACGAAAGCUGGGGGAGCAAACGGGAUUAGAUACCCCGGUAGUCC